AGCUCCAAUAGCGUAUAUUUAAGUUGUUGCAGUUAAAAAGCUCGUAGUUGGAUUUCGGGUGGGUCUCAGCGGUCCGCCUAUGGUGAGUACUGCUGUGGCCUUCCUUACUGUCGGGGACCUGCUUCUGGGCUUCAUUGUCCGGGACAGGGAUUCGGCAUGGUUACUUUGAGUAAAUUAGAGUGUUCAAAGCAGGCUUACGCCGUGAAUACUUUAGCAUGGAAUAACAUGAUAGGACUCUGCCCUAUUCUGUUGGCCUGUAGGAGUGGAGUAAUGAUUAAGAGGAACAGUCGGGGGCAUUCGUAUUUCAUUGUCAGAGGUGAAAUUCUUGGAUUUAUGAAAGACGAACUACUGCGAAAGCAUUUGCCAAGGAUGUUUUCA
rnacentral:rRNA from 1 species